rnacentral:piRNA from 1 species
UUCCAGGUUACUGGGUAGGAGCCAC